AGGAAGAAGGUGUGGCCGGGUUAGCUCAGUUGCACAUAUAUAGAGGUUUACUCUUCGACGCCGCGGGUUCGACUCCGACCUGCGGCCCUUUGCUGCAUGUCAUUCCCCCUCUCUCUCCCCUUUCGUGUCUUCAGCUGUCCUGUAGAAAUAAAAGGCCUAAAAAUGCCCCAAAAAAUUAUCUUUAAAAAAUCAUCUUACCCACAGAUAAAAAGGACAAAAAGGCAGAAGAAAGUGAGCAGAAUGAUGAAGAGGAUGAUGAUGAUGAUGAUGAUGAUGAUGAUGGUGAAAAAGAAGAGGGAGAAAAAGGAACUGCAACCAGAGCGACCACACGGUCAGCAGCUCGCCUGGAGGCUGAAAGAAACAAGCCAAGUAAACCCUCCACCCGGGCAAGUCGGCAGAGCGGUAAAGAGGAGACCACAGCUGGCACACGCGGGGCGAGGGGCCAGGCAGCAGCAGCGAAGGGGGGCCGUAAACGGGAGGCCAGCCCCCCUGCGGUGCGAAUGCGGGGAGGACAGAAAUCAGAGGAGCCCCAUUCCAAGAGAGCCAAACGCUAAAACCUCAGACAGCGGUGGAUUGAUUCGCCCCAGCAGCGUUUUCGCUGCACUCCAUAUUCAAGUCAGUUUUGUUAUCAGGGGUCAAAGAGCCUCUACAGUCAGUUAGCAUGCAAAGCUGUUUCUGCUUCAUUGACUGUAGGUAUUGAAAAGCUCUGGAGAGUAUUAUACUCUCUCGUCUGAUGGUUUGGGUAUAAACCUGAGGAUCUGUGUCGAAAUCCCCCCAGAAUACCUUCUACUGCACUACGCCCAUAUGGUUUGGAUCAGACUUCAUCGUUCCUCCGUUUAUUCAGUAAUGCCCAGUGAAUCCGAGUAUUUCAGCCCAAUCAAAGGCCUAACAUGCAGCAGAGUCGUGUUUUGAGAUACAGAGGGUGAAUUGAAACUAGAGGCCAGAGUGCGUCUCGGUUCCUGCUGAGACUGUAAAUCCAAACACUUGUACAUAGAAAUCACUGUGAAGCUUCUUAGUGUUCAUUGUGAAUUUUAUUUUUCCAUAUUCAUUCUGUGAAUGAAAGGAGAAGUUCUUGUUUUAAAUUGUUUUUUUUUCUUAAUAUUCAUAAGGUAAGGGACUUUUUUGUUUUAAACAGCAGAUUCGUCACAGACUGGGGAAAACACGUGAACAGUUUCUCUAUAAACUGAAUCUACUUUAUGACACACCCGCUGCAGACAAAAGAACUGUUUCUUACUGUCUAAAUGGAGGUAAUCUAGUCAUUUGUAUUGUUUCAACUGUAUAUCAAUAUAAUGGUUAGAUAUCUUGCCUACCUGUUAAUGUAAAGACAUUUUUUUUUAUAAAUAUAAAAAUACUGAAUAUUGCUUCCUUUUUUUUAAUUGUUUCAAGCAAGUAUAAAUCACUUCAAGUUCUUAUUUGUGGUCAAAAUCAGAAUUUCUAUUGGAAGCAG
rnacentral:lncRNA from 1 species